AUGGUAGACUGGUUUUGGUAUACGGUUGGCAAGGAGCAGGCUAAAUGUGCAAAGAGUACGAUGUAUGCAAGAGAUUGUGUGUGCCUGUCGGGUUCCCCAUUAAAAGAGAACAACCGUUCGUCAAGAUGUGGUUGCAGUGCAAUGAUAAGGCUGCCGAGAUCCAAGGAUGUUGGUUGGUACAUAUCAGAGCACAAAUCAGGGCACAACCAUCCGCUCUCUAUUACAUGUGGCCAGAAAAUGCAUUGGAAGUCGCACAGGCAUAUAGAUAGAUACACCAAGGAUCUUGUGAAGCAGUUGAGGGACAACAAUGUUUCCCUUGGGAAGGUUUUCAGCAUUGUUGGUAGCUUCUUUGGUGCUGCGGAGAAUGUGCCAUUUACAAAAAGGUCUCUGAAAACAUUGUGCAGGAAGCUCAACAAGGAGCAAUCGGAUCUUGAUGCGGUCAAAACGAUGAACAUGCUUGCGGAUAUGAAAGCUGAUGAUCCAGAGUUCAACUACACAGUGCAGGUCGGCGAGGAGAGCCGCAUAAGAACAUUAAUGUGGGUGACAAGUAGAGGGUGCGAUCAGUAUAGGUAUUUUGGAGAUGCAAUAACAUUUGAUACUACAUACAGGACAAACCUGUAUGAUAUGCCGUUUGGCCUGUUUGUUGGCGUCAACAACCACUUCCAAAGCAUAAUAUUCGGUGGAGCCAUGAUGAGAGACGAGAAAGAGGAAACAUUCAAAUGGAUAUUCAGGGAGUUUGUCUGCAUGGUGGGUGGCAAACAUCCGCAGACAAUACUUACAGAUCAAGCACGGUCUAUGGAGCUUGCUAUUGAAGCAGAGCUGCCAAACACAGUGCACCGUUGGUGCAAAUGGCAUGUUUUGAAAAAGGCUAAGGAAUCCAUGGGUGUUCUCUGGAGCAAGAACAGUGAUUUCAAACUGGAGUUCCACAAGCUUGUCCAUCACAUGAUAACUGAAGAAGAAUUUGAGGCUGGAUGGGACCAGAUGUUGGAGAAGUACUCGCUGAGAAAGCAUCCAUUCUUGACGCAGAUAUAUGAGGUGAGGCAUAAAUGGGCAAAGCCGUAUUUCCGAGGGGUGUUCUGUGCUAGGAUGACAAGCACUCAACGGAGUGAGAGCGCAAACCAUCUUUUGAAGGGUUACGUGCCGCCAGGGUGCCCAAUGCAUCUGUUUUUGAAGCAGUUUCAGAAAUUGCAAUUUGAUAGAGAAGCGGAAGAGAGUUAUCAAGAGAAGAGGACAUCCCUGAGCAGCGUGCCUCUUAGGGUGAACCUUCCAAUAGAGAAACAUGCUAGCAAGGUGUACACCAGAGCUAUGUUUGAAAAAUUUGGCGAAGAAUUGUAUAAAUGUGGGGCACAUGUGUUGGAUGAGGUGUUGCCUAGGAGGAUUUACAAGUCUACCCGUGUAGAAGCGACAAACAGGGAGAGGUGGAGCAAAGUUGAAUUCAAGAUAGAAGUGAAUGAAGAUGAGAGUUUUUUCAGUUGCGAGUGCGGGUACUUUGAGCAUGCUGGGCUAGUGUGCUGCCAUGCACUGCAGGUAAUGGUGCACUUCCGUUUGCAAAAAAUACCACCGAAACACAUACUUAAGAGAUGGACGAGAGAUGCUCGAGACAUUCUUCCUGAGCAUCUGGUUAGGUAUCAGAGAGACAGAGGGCCUCCAGCCAGCGAUACAUUCAGGCACCACACCAUGUACAUGAAAGCGCUGGAGUGUGUUGUGCUUGGCGACAGCAAUGUCAAGUGCUAUGAUGUUUUCAUGGCCAUGAUGAAGGAGGUGCAUGCGACUCUGCUUCCACUUAGUGUUGAUAAAGAUGGAAUGGGGCUUGCAGAGAGAGAGAAAUAA
rnacentral:rRNA from 1 species